AGCCGGGGUGGCCUCAGGGGAGCCGGGGCGCCCUCAGGGGGCUCCAGGGGUGACGAGACCCGUCUCGUACGCGCAGAUCACAGCCUGCACCCGGUCCC
rnacentral:tRNA from 1 species